AUCCAGCUGACGAGUCCCAAAAAGGAUGAAGUGCGCAUUUUGUAU
rnacentral:hammerhead_ribozyme from 1 species